CCUACGGGAGGCAGCAGUGAGGAAUAUUGGUCAAUGGACGGAAGUCUGAACCAGCCAUGCCGCGUGCAGGAAGACGGCUCUAUGAGUUGUAAACUGCUUUUGUACAAGGGUAAACCUGAACACGUGUAUUCAGCUGAAAGUACUGUACGAAUAAGGAUCGGCUAACUCCGUGCCAGCAGCCGCGGUAAUACGGAGGAUCCAAGCGUUAUCCGGAUUUAUUGGGUUUAAAGGGUGCGUAGGCGGAUUGAUAAGUUAGAGGUGAAAUGUUCGGGCUUAACUCGGGAACUGCCUCUAAUACUGUUGGUCUAGAGAGUAGAUGCGGUAGGCGGAAUGUGUGGUGUAGCGGUGAAAUGCUUAGAGAUCAUACAGAACACCGAUUGCGAAGGCAGCUUACCAAUCUAUAUCUGACGUUGAGGCACGAAAGCGUGGGGAGCAAACAGGAUUAGAUACCCGUGUAGUC
rnacentral:rRNA from 1 species